rnacentral:misc_RNA from 1 species
GAAAUGCGAUAAGUAAUGUGAAUUGCGGAAUUCAGUGAAUCAUCGAAUCUUUGAACGCACCUUGCGCUCCUUGGUAUUCCUCGGAGCAUGCCUGUUUGAGUAUCAUGAAAUCUUCAAAGUAAAUCUUUUGUUAACUCAAUUGGUUUCUACUUUGGUAUUGGAGGUCUUUGCAGCUUCACACCUGCUCCUCUUUGUUCAUUAGCUGGAUCUCAGUGUUAUGCUUGGUUCCACUCGGCGUGAUAAGUUAUCUAUCGCUGAGGACACUGUAAAAGGUGGCCAAGGUAAAUGCAGAUGAACCGCUUCUAAUAGUCCAUUGACUUGGACAAUACUUUUAUGAUCUGAUCUCAAAUCAGGUAGGACUACCCGCUGAACUUAAGC